rnacentral:rRNA from 1 species
GACGAACGCUGGCGGCGUGCUUAACACAUGCAAGUCGAACGGAAAGGCCCUGCUUGCAGGGUGCUCGAGUGGCGAACGGGUGAGUAACACGUGGGUGAUCUGCCCCUUACUUUGGGAUAAGCCUGGGAAACUGGGUCUAAUACUGGAUAGGACCAUGCUGUAGGUGGUGUGGUGGAAAGAUUAGUUUCGGUAAGGGAUGAGCUCGCGGCCUAUCAGCUUGUUGGUGGGGGAAUGGCCUACCAAGGCGUCGACGGGUAGCCGGCCUGAGAGGGUGGACGGCCACAUUGGGACUGAGAUACGGCCCAGACUCCUACGGGAGGCAGCAGUGGGGAAUAUUGCACAAUGGGCGCAAGCCUGAUGCAGCGACGCCGCGUGGGGGAUGACGGCCUUCGGGUUGUAAACUCCUUUCAGCCAUGACGAAGCCCUUGUGGUGACGGUAGUGGUAGAAGAAGCACCGGCUAACUACGUG